UACGAAGGGGGCUAGCGUUGCUCGGAAUCACUGGGCGUAAAGCGCACGUAGGCGGUCUUUUAAGUCAGGGGGUGAAAUCCUGGAGCUCAACUCCAGAACUGCCUUUGAUACUGGAAGACUUGAGUCCGGGAGAGGUGAGUGGAACUGCGAGUGUAGAGGUGAAAUUCGUAGAUAUUCGCAAGAACACCAGUGGCGAAGGCGGCUCACUGGCCCGGUACUGACGCUGAGGUGCGAAAGCGUGGGGAGCAAACAGG
rnacentral:rRNA from 1 species